CACGUAGGCACCAAGCGUUGUCCGGAUUUAUUGGGCGUAAAGAGCUCGUAGGCGGUUCGGUAAGUCGGGUGUGAAAACUCUGGGCUCAACCCAGAGCCGCCACCCGAUACUGCUGUGACUUGAGUGCGGUAGGGGAGCGGGGAAUUCCUGGUGUAGCGGUGAAAUGCGCAGAUAUCAGGAGGAACACCGGUGGCGAAGGCGGGACUCUGGGCCGAUACUGACGCUGAGGAGCGAAAGCGUGGGGAGCGAACAGG
rnacentral:rRNA from 1 species